UUGAACGCUGGCGGUAUGCUUAAAACAUGCAAGUCGAACNGCNAGGNACUUCGGUGCCCUAUAGUGGCGGACAGGUGAGUAACACGUGGGAAUCUACCUGUUAGUGGGGGACAGCCCAGCGAAAGCUGGAUUAAUACCGCAUACGCCCUACGGGGGAAAGCAGCANUGCGCUAACAGAUGAGCCCGCGUAAGAUUAGCUAGUUGGUAAGGUAAAGGCUUACCAAGGCGACGAUCUUUAGCUGGUCUGAGAGGAUGGCCAGCCACAUUGGGACUGAUGACACGGNCCGGACUCCUACNGGAGGCAGCAACNCGGGAAUAUUGGACAAUGGGCGCAAGCCUGAUCCAGCAUAUACUCGCGUG
rnacentral:rRNA from 1 species